GAGUUUGAUCAUGGCUCAGGAUGAACGCUAGCGGCGCGCCUAAUGCAUGCAAGUCGAGCGAUGAGGCACCUUUGGGUGUACAUCAGCGGCAGACGGGUGAGUAACACGUAGGUGACCUACCCGAAGACGGGGAUAACAGGUGGAAACAUCUGCUAAUACCCGAUGGGCUCUGAGCGGAAGCGAGGAGUAAAGGCUACGGUGCUUCGGGAGGGGCCUGCGGCCUAUCAGCUAGUUGGUAGGGUAACGGCCUACCAAGGCGAAGACGGGUAGGGGUGU
rnacentral:rRNA from 1 species